GACGAACGCUGGCGGCGUGCUUAACACAUGCAAGUCGAACGAUGAAGUUCCUUCGGGAAUGGAUUAGUGGCGAACGGGUGAGGAGCACGUGAGAAACCUGCCUUUCAUUUUGGGAUAACUCCGGGAAACCGGGGCUAAAACCGAAUACUCCGUCUCGGCGGCAUCGCUGAGCCGGGAAAAAAUUUUGAUGAAAGAUGGUCUCGCGGCCUAUCAGCUAGUUGGUGAGGUAAUGGCUCACCAAGGCAACGACGGGUAGCCGGCCUGAGAGGGCGACCGGCCACACUGGGACUGAGACACGGCCCAGACUCCGACGGGAGGCAGCAGUGGGGAAUAUUGGGCAAUGGGCGCAAGCCUGACCCAGCGACGCCGCGUGAGGGAUGAAGGCCUUCGGGUUGUAAACCUCUUUCAGUAGGGAAGAAGCGAAAGUGACGGUACCUAAAGAAGAAGCACCGGCUAACUAUGUGCCAGCCGCCGCGGUAA
rnacentral:rRNA from 1 species